rnacentral:lncRNA from 1 species
AAAAAAAAACGUGAACUCAAGAACAGAAGAAGAAAAAAAUUAAGAAGAAGAAGAAGAUCGACUGGGUCUCGUCGACUGAAGAAGAAGAUGGAAGAAGAAGAAAAAAGAAAAAAACAAGAAGAAAGGAGAAGAAAAAAAUACCUGGGUUGGGAUGAAACCCUAAUUUUCUGCAACUGGAGAAGAAGAAGAGAGGCUGGUCCACCUCUGUUUGGGACUAAUAUAGGUAUUUUUGAGACCCCAAAGUUUUUUUUUUUAAAAAAGACCUCUGCAUGCGCUUUCUUCAAUUAAGCGAUCGCUUUUGCGCUUCGAUCGCUUCUGCGCGUUUGCGCUUCUGCCAUGGAAGCGAUCGCUUCUCUAGGUCGCCUCGCUUCAGCCUGCAAAAAGCGAUAGAGGGUCGCUUCGCGUCGCUUCGCGACGAAGCGACCGCUUUUCAAAACACUGCACCUAAGACACAACAAGAUAUAUCUACUAGAUGCAUUUAACAAGAAAAGCUAAUAAUUAACAUAAUGUUUAGGAAGAUUUCGGCUAAGUUGAGUUAUUGGUCAGUUUUCUACUUUUUUAUGACAAUGAGUGUAUUACUGAUUAAGAGGUUGAGCUCUUACUUACCUAAAUGACUAAUUCGAAUACUCGUUUGGUUUUCUUCCCCAAAAAAGGUCAGCAAACUUCAACCUUACUCUUUUGUUUUACUAGUUUAAGUCCCUAAAUGUGAAAUAUUUUACUAUCUCUACCGAUUGAUCUUACCGAUAAUACAUUCAUGCCUUUUAAUUAUUUUAUCUAUUUGUUAAUGACUAACGAGUACAUUUUGCAACCCGAAACUUCUUUUAAAAAACAUUUGAAUGCUAAAAUGCAUAUGUUGAUUCAUGUCUAUUGUUAACUCUGACAUGAUUUCUUGACUAUCUUAAAUACUUAGUUCCAAAUCUAUCUCUCUCUCUUAUAUGCUUUGUUAAUAGUGUUAUGAUUACUACACUAACAUGCUUUGAACAUCAUUCACCAUUCACAUUUAUUCAUUUAAUUCAAUAGAAUCUGAUUAUGUUAAGGGCUAAAAGAUCAAAUUGUUAUUUUGGUUCUACUUAUGCCCUUUGAAUCUACUCUCAUAUCUUUAUUGUAUCUAUGUGAUUUUGUUGAUUACUUGAUUGAACUUAUGUCCCUUUAUGUAUGCAUAUAUUUAGUUAGUUGGUUCUUCAUAUUGCAUUUGUAUGUGAAUCUUAGACUGGUUUAUAUUGAACCUAUGUUAUGAAAGCUGCUGAAAUGUAUCUAAGUUGUGAUAACACAUUUGUUCAUUUAAAACACUCCUGCUAAGUUCCUUUGUACCUGAAGCCUAAUCUCAAACACACUUAGCAUUUUUCCCUUGAUUUGAUGAUAUAUUUAUCCUUAUUAAACCUCAUAUGAUGUCACUGUUAGUAAUACUUCCAUGACAUAAUCUCUGCUAAGUUCCCUUUGUGUGUGAUUAUGAUCCUGUAUUCAGCUAUGAUUUCCAACAUCUCUAUUUGACUUUCAUUACCACACGUAUGCCCACACUGCUAUGAAAACUUGACUAAGUUCUCUCAAGUAUACAAGACAUAACUCCAAAUGACCUCUUUGUUACUACUGCUUGGAUAUAACUGUUUGCUUCAUUUUAAUAGAAUUAGUUUAAAGUUAAAACUCCUAAAAGAGGUAAAUUUGUCAUUAAUUCUUAAUUUGAGGUAUGAUAGAUAAUCUGAGACCUUGUUAAUAAUCUUAGGAGCUGUAAUUAGAUUUGUGAACCUGUGACCUUAUUAGUGUCCUUAGAAGUUCUAAUUUGUGAUCUUGUAGUCUCCCUAAAAGCGUUGUUCUAGGAUAAAAUAUGCGAUCCUGUCAAUUUUUUUUGUAGUGCAAUAAUCUGUAUCAGUACAGUGUAGUUCUAAUUAUGGUUACUACUUUUAUAUUCUAUCAAUACUCCUUGAAUGUUCUAUUCAAAAUUGUUAAAAUGUGCCUCACGAUUAAGGCUAUUGAUAUGUAUUUAUCAUUAAAGAUGUAUAAACUGUCUGCAUUAGCAUUCUUUGGAAGGCAUUAACUGUAGUAAUGAAUCUGCAAUGUGGUUGACAUUCUCAGGAUUUUAGUUGUAAUCGUUAAACUAUCCUCUCCUAAUUCCCCUAGAUGUUUGAUUUCUUAACAGGAGCAUGACAAAGUAUGUUUGAAGAUUGUCUUCUUUGAAGCUAUUUAAUGUGUUAAUCAUCCAUUUAGUAUUGGAAAUGGUUAAGAUAUUGUAGAUAGACUGCCUUGUGGCCUUAUGAUAUUCUGUUUGGCACUCAUAAGAAGGGUGUACACUUAUGUGGUAUGGUAUUGCUAUGGUGAUCGGUUUACAUUGAAAAUGCCUCAUUGGCACUUAACCUAUGGGGAAGAGUGAGUAAUUAAUGGUUAGGCGUAUUUGGGAGUAGAGUUUAACUCUUGGUUGGGCUGCUCUCCCAAGCACAAGCAUUGCCCUAUGCCCUUGAGACCCUUUGGAACUUUGAAGUGUCAGGGGAUACAAAGGGGGAUUUGUCCUUGAGUAAAACUCUAUCCCUAGCCUCUAAUCCAUUAAUAUUCAUUACUCUUUUUGGGUUAAGUGUUUAAGAUAAAAAAGGGUUUCAAGGUAAAUCACUUUACAAUAUGUAACCUCCACAUUAGUAUAAUCUUUUAUAGUAUUUAAGUACUGCUAGUUGUUAUAUUGUUCAAGUCACUUACAUAUUUCAUGUAUAAUUAUAUGUAUAGAAUAUUAUUUCUAAUGACUUUCUCUCUUUCUUUUCUGAACAUGUAAAACCACUGGGCCUGCCGCAUUCUCAAGAAUCCCAGGCCCAAAUCUUGUGUCAUGCAUCUGAACAUCUAGAGCUUAUUGUUGUCCAUUCCUGCUAAUUGUCGGGCCUACCUCUUUUAUUCUGAUUCAAUUCACAUUCCAAACUAUGUAUUUUCUUUGUUGCUGCAGUUCAUCAGUUUGUGAUUUCCAAUGCUAUGUGAUAUUCUACUUAAUAUGCAAUCAGCAUGCCUAGAUUAUUGUAUCACAAAAACUUGUUUAAGCUUAUUCUGUUAAAGGCUAUAACUCUCACACUGUUUCGCAUUGUCAAUCCUGCUUUAAAUAAUUGGUUCACUAACAUUUCCCAAGCUGCAUUGUGUGUAUAUGAUUUCACCUAGCAUGACCAAAUUCUGCAUGUUCUGUAUGUGAAAAGUAUUUCUAAAACCUUGAAUAUUUCAUGAAGCUUUUGUCUAGUUUGUUCAUCUAAGUCCAGUUUGUUCUAUUUCACUAAUGAUGUCACGAUCCUAGUUUGCCCUCCAUGAAAAUUUUGUGACGGAACCUAGUCCCUAUAACUAGGUAAGCCUAACAAUGCGGAAACAUAACUUAAGAAAAACAAAAAUUUUAACAUAAGAGACGAAAUGUAAAAUGCCGCUCGAUAUAUACAACAUAAUAAUUCAACUCCUAUAAAUCUUUCCCAAAACCCGAAACUCACAGGAACACAAGCUAAAAGAAUAUAACAAAGUGUUCUAAUCUCCAGAAAUGUCUACAUCAAAAAGUACGAUAGAAAGCUAAACGCUAUAAGAUAGAAUAAUAUGGUUUGCAAUAGUAUAAAAUACGCAGUAAUCUGAAGUCCUAAAGUAAAUACGCAGUCAUAAUAAGAAGUUAUUUAGAAAUGAAGUUCGAAGAAAUACAAGGCAACAGGUAGUUCUAGCUUAACAUGCUUCACGUAGUACAAACAAAGCAACUUAAGCAAAUAGGCAUUUCAGAUCAACUAAGCAUGCUUUUCUAAAGUAACACAGAUUAUAAGUGCAAAUAGAAUAAAGCGGGUAAGAAAGAAACUCAGUCGAAACAUUUAGGUAAAAUCGAAUUUUCAACAGUUAUCUCAAGUACACGCUCAUUACCUAAGGUACAACGCAUUCAAUUACUAAACAUCAUUUCCUAUGGGGAAAGUCCCCCACACAAGGUUAGAUAAGUCACUUACCUCGAACCGGCUCCAAAAUCAACCCACACAUUUGCCACGAGCGUCCGACUCCAAAUGGCUCAAACAAAUUCAAUUCAAUUACAUAUCAUAAAUAACAUUUCAAACAACUAAUUAUACUAUUUAAUUCAAAGAUAAGAUGCAAAAUUAGGAAAAAUAACCAAAACUCCCCUAAAUCCAACGUCUCUAAAUUGGAUGAAAUCAAAAUUUGUAGAACCUUCAUACUCUCACGAGUCUAACCAUAUAAAAAUCUCUUAAAUCGGAAGUCAAACACCCACUCAAACUCAAUAAUUUGGUAUAUGAAGUUUUACCCAUUCUCCAUUCAAAAACCCGAAAUUAGAAGAAGAAUUCAUGAUUAGAUUAGUGGGUUAUAUGCAAAAAGGAGUUUAGAAUCAUUACUCAAUCGUUGUCGCUGAAACACCCUCGAAAUAUCCCUCAAAUCCCUUCUCUCAAGCUUUGGUUUUGGUAAAAAUGGAUAACCCUUGGAUUUUGAAAUGUUUAUAACUGCCCAGGCAUUUAAUGCAUCGCGAACACAGAGGAAGUCACGCGUUCGCGAAGAAGAAAAAUAAAAGCUGCCAUAAAUGCUCUUCACGAUUGCAAGGAGCAGUACACGAAUGCAAAGGCUUGAGCUGACACGGCUACGCGAACGCGACAUGGGGGAAUACAAACGCGAUGAAUAAAAUAGGCUCAUCCCUCAGAGCCAAAUAGAGCUACACAAACGUGAUGGCUUAGCCGCGAACGUGAUGGAGGAUAAAGUGAAGCUUCGUGAAGGCGGAAGGAAUGGACGCGAGUGCGACGAAGAAACGGGUCCUCCUCCAAAAUUACUCUGCGUGAAUGCGUGGAGGAGAACGCGAACAAAAAGAAGAAAAAGGGUCUUGUCAGCUGAAGGAUUUUCUGCAAUUUUUAACAACUCCAAAAUGCCAGUUGAGCAUCCGAAACACACCCGAGGCCCCCGGGACCUCAACCAAACCUACGGACGUAUCUCAUAACAUCAUUCAAACUUGUACCAAUUCUUAAACCGCCUAAAAUAAUAUCGGAAACUCAAAUUAAUUAAUGAUUUAAGCUUAACAACUUUCAAUUCUCUCAAAAUACAAUUUCGAUGAAAAACCUAACCAAACCACGUGCGAAUGAUCUGAAAUUUUGCACACACAUCCCAAAUGACAUGACAAAACGAAUUCAACUUUCAGAAUUCCAUUCCGACCCUCAGAUCAAAAUCUCAUUACCAACCCGGGAACUUCAAAAAUUCAAACUUCGUUUCAAGCCUAAAUUAGCUACGAACCUCGAAAACACAUUCUGAACACGCUCCCAACCCCGAAAUCACCUAACAGAGCUAAUGGAACCAUUAGAUUUUAAUUCUGAGGAUGUCUUCAAACUAUUAUGACUACAUGCAACUUUCCAAUACAUAAGCUCUCCUUUAGGGACUAAGUGUCCCAAAACUCCCCAAAACUCAAAACUAAACAUCCCAGCAAUUCAAUUUUGCAAAAAUAGACUUGGGAAAAACAGUUAAUAGGGUGGCGUUAACUCUUAAGACGACCGGCCAUGUCGUCACAUUCUCCUACACUUAAACAUCCGUUCGCCCUUUAACGAGAAUAAAGACAUACCUAAAGUAGUGAAAAGAUAAGGGUAACUUCUGCGCAUAUCCUGCUCGGUCUCCCAGGUCGCCUCCUCGGCCGGCUGACCCCGCCACUGAACCUUUGCUGAAGUAAUGUUAUUUGACCUCAAAUUUCUGAUUUUCCUGUCCAAUAUAGCAACUGGCUCCUCAACAUAAGAUAGAUCCUUGUCCAGAUGGACUGAACUGAAAUCCAACACGUACGAUGGAUCACCGUUAUAUUUUCUGACCUACUUGUCCAAUAUUGCCACUAGCUCCUCAACAUGAUAUAGACCAUUGUCCAACUGGACUGAACUAAAAUCAACACGUGCGACAGAUCACCGUGAUACCUCCGGAGCAUCGAAACAUGCAAUACCGGAUGAACUCCUGCUAAGCUGGGAGGUAAGGCAAGCUCAUAAGCAACCUCCCCAACACGCCUCAUUAUCUCAAAAGGGCUAAUAAACCUCGGACUGAACUUCUCAUUCUUCCCAAAUCUCAUAACUCCCUUCAUAGGCGUAACCCGAAGCAAAAUUUGCUCUCCGACCAUAUAUGAAACAUCACAAACCUUCUACCUGGACUGGGCUGUACGGAGUCUAUCCUGAAUCACCUUAACCUUCUCCAAUGCAUCCUGAACCAACUCUGUACCCAAUAACGUGGCCUCACCCGGCUCAAACCAACCCACUGGAGAUCUGCAUCUCCUACCAUAUAAGGCCUCAUACGGCGCUAUCUGAACGUUGGACUGAUAACUCUUGUUGUAAGCAAACUCCACCAAUGGAAAGAACCGAUACCAAGACCCUCAAAACUCAAUCACACAUGCACGGAGCAUAUCCUCAAGAAUCUGAAUAGUUCACUCAGACUGUCCGUACGUCUGGGGGUGAAAUGUUUUGCUCAACUCUACACGCGUACCCAACUCUUACUGAACGACCCUCCAGAACCAUGAUGUAAGUUGAAUACCUCUAUCUGAAAUAAUAGAAACUGGAAUACCAUGCAGACGAACAAUCUCCCGAAUAUAAAUCUACGCCAACCACUCCGAUGAAUAAGUAGUACACAUAGGAACAAAAUGAGUGCACUUGGCCAACCGCUCUACAAUCAUCAAAUGGCAUCAAACUUCUUCGAGGUCCGUGGGAGUCCAACUAAAAAGUCCAUGGUGUUCCGCUCCCACUUCCACUCUGAAAAUCUCUAUAUGCUGAAGCAACCCACCCAAUCUCUGGUGCUCAUACUUCAGCUGCGGACAAAUGAGGCAUUUAGCGACAUAUCCAACUAUAUCCUUCUUCAUCCUCCUCCACUAAUAGUGGUGCCUCAAAUCUUGAUACAUCUUCGCAGCACCCGGAUGGAUGGAAUAUCUUGAACCGUGGGCCUCAAGCUAAAAUCAACUCUCGAAGCCCAUCAAUGUUGGGCACACAAAUCCGACCCUGUAUCCUCUAGACUCCGUCAUCUCCAAUGGUCACAUCUCUGGCAUCGCCAUGCCGAACCUUGUCCUUGUCUUCAUACUACCACUCCCUGAUACGAUCGAACAAGGAAGACUGAGAAACCACGCAAGUUGUGACCCGACUGGGCUCCGAAAGGUCCAAUCUCACAAAUUUACUGGCUAAGGCCUGAACAUCCAUCACCAUAGACCUCUCUGAUGUUGGUAAAUAUGCCAAACUCCCAAACUCUUCGCCCGGCGACUCAUGGCAUCAGCCACCACAUUGGCCUUGCCAAGGUGAUACAAAAUAGUAAUAUCAUAAUCCUUCAGCAACUCUAACCACUUACUUUGGCGCAAAUUUAGGUGCUAUUGCUUGAACAAGUACUGCAAACUUCGAUGGUCAAUAUAAAUCUCACAAGCCAGACCGUACAAAUAAUGGCGCCAGAUCCUCAAAGCAUGAACAAUAGCAGCUAACUUAUGGUCGUGGACAGGUUAAUUCUUCUCAUGUAUCUUCAACUAUCUAGACGCAUAAGCAAUCACCUGCCGUCCUGUAUCAAAAACGCUCUAAGGCCAACCCGUGUAGUAUCACAACAAACUGUAUAAGACCCCGAAUCACUAUGAAAUAUCAACACUGGGGCUAUAGUCAAAGCUGUCUUGAGCUUCUAAAAUCUCGCCUCACACUCCUCUGCCUACUGAAAUGGAGCUCCCUUGUGGAUCAAUCUAGUCAUGGAAGCUGCAAUCGAGGAAAACCCCUCCACAAAACGACGGUAGUAACCCGUUAAGCCAUGGAAACUGUGAAUCUUUGUAGCUAAGGACGGCCUGAGCCAACUCUGCACGGUCUCCACAUUCUUCGAAUCCAUUUGAAUGCCCUCACUCGAUACCAUGUGGCCUAAGAAUGCCACAGAAUCCAACCAAAACUCACAUUUUAAGAACUUUGCAUAUAACUUCUUCUCUCGCAUGGUCUGAAGCACGUACCUCAAGUGUUGCUCAUGAUUUUCCCGACUCCGAGAGUAUACAAGAAUAUCAUCUAUGAAAAUAAUGACGAAUGAGUUGAGAUAUGGUAUGAACAUAUUAUGCAUCAAAGGCAUAAAAGCUGCUGGGGCGUUGGCCAGCACAAAUGACAUAACUAGGAACUCGUAAUGACCAUACCGAGUCCUGAAGUUAGUCUUCAGGGUAUCUGGCUCCCGAAUCGUCAAGUGACGAUAACGUGAGCGCAAGUCAAUCAUAGAAAACACAUGUGCGCCUUGAAGUUGGUCGAAUAGAUCAUCAAUACGAGGCACGGGAUAAGGGUUCUUCACUAUAACAUUUUUCAUUGAUAAUAAUUGAUGCACAUACGCAUAGAACCAUCCUUCUUCUUCACAAACAAGACUGGAGCACCUCAAGGUGAAAUACUGGGUCGAAUAAAACCCUUAUUAAGUAAUUCCUGUAAUUGAUAAUGCCAAAAUCAAUAUCUCUAUUAGGCGGGAUGCCCAGAAGAUCAACUGGAAACACAUCUGAUAAUCCUAUUCCACUGAGACCGAAUCAAAAAAAGGGGUAUCAACAGUGACAUCUAUCACAUAGGCUAAAUACAUGGCACACCCCUUCUUAACCAUACUCCGAGCUUUAAGGAAAGAGAUAACUCUAUUGGGAGUGUGAUCUAAAGUACCACUCCACUCAACACACGGAACACCUGGCAUAGCCGGCGUCACAGUCUUGGCUUGACAAUCAAGAAUAGCAUAAUCGGGUGACAACCAGUCCAUGCCCAAGAUAAUAUCAAAAUCAACCAUACUGAGUAACAAUAAAUUCGCUCUAGUCUCAAAACCAGGAAAAAUUUCCAAACAUGACCGAUAAACAUGGUCCACAACAAGAGAAUCUCCCACAAGAGUAGAAACAUACACAAGAGAACUAAAGAAAUAUCAGGGUACACCUAAAUGCAAAGUAAAAUAAGAAGAGACAUAAGAGUAAAUUGACCAUGUAUUGAAUAGAACCGAUACAUCUCUGUGACAAACCAGUAUAAUAUCUAUAAUGAUAGAAUCAUAGGCAACAACCUCCGUACCAGCAGGAAUAACAUAUCAUCUGGCCUAGAUUCCCCCUCGAGGGCAACCUCUACCUCCCCAAUCUCCACCUCUAGCUGGCUGGGCAAUUGGGGUAGCGGCUGGAGCUAUGAUCAUGGCAUGGGAAGUCUAAGGAGCACAAUGUGGCUGAGUAGUCUUUGAAGAUGAACCUCUACCAAGUUUGGGGAAAUCCCUAACCAUAUGGGGUGUAUCACCACACUCAAAACAAGUUUUGGGAGGAUGCGGUGGCUGUGACUAACUACAGCCAGGUCUGCAAGACUGACCUCUGAAAUCAGCCUGCGCAAGAGGCGUACUAGAAACUAGAGGUGCAUAGUAAGGCUCCUGAGGACUAGGAGGAGCUGGAGCACUGCUGGCUGCUGGAAGAGCUGAAUGGACGGGGUGACCCAUGUAACCCCUACCAUGUCAACCUGAUGUUGGGGUACGGGCACCAGAGUUGUGGUCCAGCUCUCGAGACCUCUUGGCCUCUCUUUCCUCUCGCUCCCUAGCGAGCAUACCCUCGAUCCCCUUAGCAAUGUGCACUACUUGCUGAUAAGGAAUGUCCAUCUCCAGCUCUCGAGCAAUGGUAGAUCUGAUGGGUGGGAUAAGACCCUCAAUGAAUCGGUGAACCCUCCCGUGAACAGUAGCAACCAAAGCCGAUGCAUGCCUAGCCAAUCUAUGGUAGCGGAUACCAUACUUUGAAACUAUAAUACCACCAUAGAGCAAAUGCUCGAACUCUGUUCGCCAUACGUCCCUAAGGCUUUGAGCAACAAACUCUCUCAGGAACAUAUCUAAGAAUUGGUUCCAAUUCACUAAAGCAUCCUCGUCUGGACUGUCUAACUCAUAUGUGUGCCACCAAUCAUAAACGGCUCCCCAAACUCAUCGUCUAAUGCUAGUCCACUAAAUAUCAUAGGAUCACACUUCUACCUCUAAAUCCUCCGCUGCUCGUCGUCAAAAGUAGCUCCCCCAUCCACGGGAUGAACUGGCACUAUAGGUGGUACAUGAAUGAACUAUGGGACAUGCUCAACAUGCACUCGCUACUCAGUAGUGCAGGAAGUGGGAGUCUGUGCUCCUCUCCCAGCCUGGGAUGUGGUUGCAGCAAGGGGAAGCAACCCUGCCUGAGCCAAGGUGGUGUACAUACUCAUGAACUGAGCCAAUGUCUCUUAAAGGGCUGGAGUAGUAGUAUUAGUAGGCGCAUCAGGUGCCUGGACUCUGGUUGGAUCCGCUGGUGGUACCUCGGCAGCUACUCGCGCAGGUGCUCUCGCUACACCUGUACACAUCCUCGGCCUUGUCCUCUAAUGGUUGUAGUAAGGGGCACGGGUGAUUCAUCAUCUCUAAUAGCACGUGUCCUCACCAUCCGUAAGAGAAUAGAAGACUAAAUUUUAGGAUUGUGAUUUCAAAAUCUCGCACGACAAGGAAAUCAAAUGAAGUAAAAGUUUCCGUAUCAGUUACAUAGCUUCUCAUAGAUAAGUUCAGACGUCUCCAUACCGAUCAGUGAGACUCUAAUGAACCGGCAUAUGUUACGUGACUCCUAUGAACCUAGAGCUAUGAUACCAACUUGUCACAAUCCCAGUUCCCCUUCCAUGAACAUGUCGUGACGGCACCUAGUCCAUGUGACUAGGUAAGCCUAACAAUGCAGAAACAAAUCAAAAACUUGUGGAAACAUAACUUAAGAAAACGAAACAUUUAAGCAUAAGAGACAAAAUGUAAAAUGCUGCUUGACAUAUACAACAUAAUAACUCACCUCCUACAAAUCUUUUCCAAAACACAGAAACUUACGGGAACACAAGCUAAGAGAAUAUAGUAAAGUGCUCUAAUUGUAAGGCCCCGUGAAAUGAGUGUUUAGAUGUUAGCAGCUCAUAGAGUCGAGUCUACCUCCAUGGAUCAGAUCCUUUUUACUGUUUUGAACUUAAUACUGUGAAAUCAAAAUUUUUCCACAAAAUGGUCAAAAAUGCGGUCCAGAAUGCGGUCGCAGAUCGCAGAGUGAAUCAUAAAGCAACCAAUUUUAGAUGUUGAAAAUGCGGUCAAAUCUACGAUUGCAUAAUCAAUAUGCGGACCGCAGAGUGAUCACAUAUUGUCCCUAAGGAAUUCAAAGGUCAGUUUUGCGGUGCAUUCUGCAAUCGCAGAACUCAAAUGCGGACCACAUAGUCACCGCACUCCCAACCCUAGAGGUUUGAAACUUGAGCCACUUCUGCGGUCCAUUAUGCGGACCACAUGUCUGUUCUGCGAUCGCAGAUUGCGUCGUAGAUCGAGCUCGCCUGGUAUUUUUCUAAAAUUUUAGACCCGACCCACCAUUUAUUAAAGCACCUUCUCCCUCAUUUCUAACACAUUUUUUAUCAAAACAAGAGAGAGGGAGAGAGGGUUCUUGAGAGAGAAAGCAAAUCCUUCAUCAUCUUGUCUUUCAAAUCAUUGGAGCUUGGAAAAUUCUUGGUGCAUUGUCUUCUCUAUUGAUUUCUCAGGUAAAAUCACUAACCCAUUACCCCCAAAUUUCGAAAUUAUGCUUGGGAAGGGAGCCCCAUACACUUGCUUUGAAAUUUCUUCAUAACAUCUUCAUGCAUGUCUUCAAAACUCUAAAAUCUUGUAAAAAGGGAAUCGGGUAGUAACAAUGAGUUUAAAUUUCUAAAACCUAAGUAUUGCUCAUGAACUAGAUUGACUUCUUGAUUGCUUGCCGAAUUGGACUACAGGUUUAAAGGGAAUAAUCAACUCCAGGUAUGUAUGGCUAACUGUGAUCCUUGUGAAAUCGCCCUGUGCUAGUUGUGAAAUUGUUGAUAGUUGAUAUUCAUGUAGGAAUCAUUGUGAAACUUUUGUGUCGUAUAAUUGUGUGGUAACAAUUAUUGGUGAAUGUUGUGGAACUUGUAAUUAGAAGAGUUUGGAAAUGGAAAUAUUGUGGAACAAUGGAAAUUGAAAUAAUGUGGAAUAACGUGUGUGAUUAGUUGUGAACAACUGUGGUAAUAAUCCAAAUUGUGUACCAAUUUGAUGAACAUGAGGAAAUUGUUGUUGCUAGCUAUGGGAUUUCAUUAUCCUUAUGGUGGAUCUAUUUUAACAAUGUGUCAUAGUUGAUUUCUCGUAUUUGUUGUUGUGCUAUUUGUUGUUGUGAAUUGAAAACUGUCAGGCGGGGUCGGGUUGCGUGCCGCAAUACGGUGAAAUAAGGUGUGGGUUGGGGUGAGAAGUGUGGCCGAGGUAAUAAGGGUGGACGAGGCAAUAAGGGUGGAAAAUGUGAUCCAAUAUCACUAUUGAAAUGAAUAUGAAUCAUGAAAUGAUCAAUGUGGAAUUGUGAAAGGAGACUGAAGGAGAUUUUGUAACCCGUGGGGCACUUAUUGCCCCUUUGUUUGACUACUUGACUCAUUUGUUGUGAAAUGAUUAGUUGUUGCUCCAUGGUUGUACUUUUACUAUUGUGGUUCAGUUAUACACUUGUAUAUGCAAAUUGGCUUGAGUUUACUUGGGACAGAGUUUGUUCAUACAUGCCAGUACAAUUCAAAUGUACUGACAUCCCUUUUUCCGGGGGCUCUACAUUCGUGUUAUGAUUUUAGGUUGAUCCAUGGCAGGCAGUUUAGUCCACCGUUCAUAGCUCCUCCUCCUCUCUAUUUCCUGUAUUUGUGUUUGGUGAGCCCCUUUCCUUCCGGGGCCGUGUGUGGCUCAUGCCACCCAUGUUGAUGUAUUUUGGAGUUUGUGUCCUUUUAUAAAGGUAUAACCGGGGCCUUGUCGGCGGCAAGUGUUGUAUUAUCUUUCUCUUAGAGGCUCUGUAGACAAUGGUAUGUAGGUUAGAACUUAUGUAUAGAUGUGUAUGCUUUGGGCGCUGUCAACUUGUAUACCACGUUCCCUGUUAAUCAUAAUGUAGAUGUUCCUUGUUAAUCAUACUGUGUGUUUAUAAAAGAAAAUUAAUGUGUUCUUUCAAUUGCGAAUUUGGUAUCUUUUGGCUAAUUAUCAUUGAAUAAUGUGGGUUAACGCGUAGGAAAUAGGAAAGGCACCCAGGUCCACUCGAUUGGGGAUAUCCGAUCAAGAAUGCCCCACAGAUUUGGGGCGUGAAAAACUUGGUAUUAUAGCGUAAGGUCUUAAAGGAGUCCUAGGAUGUCUCGGAGCUGUGCCUAGAAUAGCCCUUCUCAUCAGUGUGUUGUCAGCCACAUCUAUAAGUUGGGUGCUACACGGGCAUUUAGGAAAAAUGAUCCUCUUCUUUGUUAUUCCAAGUUCGUGCGGUGAAAUGAUGUUGUGUCUAAUUCGUGCUCUAUUUUGAAAUUUUAAUGAUGGAACCUAAGAAGAAAGCUAGGGCCUGGGGACCAACGCUACUUCAAGUGUGGAUGUGGGAUCAUGUGCCGACUGCCGGGGGUGAGAGUGAUUCCCCGGUUCUGAAUUUGCAUGCUCCAUCCGUUCCUAAUCCAAGCAAUCAUGUUCCAGCAUCAGCCUAGGGUGAAACUAUCCCUCCUGCCAAUGCUCCUAAUCCUUAUGUUCCUCCAGCUUCCAAUCCUGGGAUUUCUGAUGGAGACUUUAGGGCAGCUAUUCGCAUGUUUACCCAAUUAGUGGCUGCCCAGGCCGAGAGAUCUCAUGAUGCUCUUGUGUCCUCCGGCAGAUCGGGAGAUCCUCCAGCUCCACAUUUCAUCAGUUUUUGCGAUUGAAUCCUCCAGAGUUCUCAAGCACAGACCCAUAGGCCGAUCCGCAAGAAUUCCUUGAUGAGAUGUACUAGACCUUUCGAGUGAUGAAGGCUAUAGAGAGAGAAGGGGUAGAAUUGGCUUCAUAGAGGUUGAAGGGAGCUACGGGUUCGUGGUAUAAGAUGUGGGAGGAUUCCUGUGAGGAGGGGAGACCUCCAGCUAGGUGGGAUGAGUUCUUAGAUGCCUUCAUGGACCACUUCUUGUUUUCCGAGACCAUGGCAGCCCGUGCCACCGAGUUUGAGGUUCUUAUGCAGGGUAGUGUGACUGUGUGGGAAUAUCAUAUGGAGUUUGUGAGGUUAUCCAAGUAUGCUCCUCAGUUGGUGUCGACUAUGGAGGCCAGAGUUCGGCAAUUUGUUUAGGGUCUCAUCCCUUUGGUGGUAAAUGAGGCUGCUACAGCGGCUUUACAUUCAGACAUGAACUAUGGAAAGAUCGUGGGUUUUUCUUAGGCCAUAGAGGCCAGGAAGUUGAAGAUUUGGGCAGACAGGGAGAAUAGCAGUAGGGCCCGGUCUAUGGGUCACUCAGGGAGGUCACCUCUAGGGAGAGAAUCAUCAUGACCAUCUCAUUCUUAUGCUCCGUCCUCAUAUCGGCGAUUUGUUCAGGGUCUCAGCCCUUUGGUGGUAAAUGAGGCAUCUAUAGCGGCUUUGCAUUCAGACAUGAAUUACGGGAAGAUCGUGGGUUUUGCUAAGGCCACAGAGGCCAGGAAGUUGAAGAUUCAGGCAGACAGGGAGAGUAGCAGCAGGGCUCGGUCUAUGGGUCACUUAGGGAGGUCAGCUCCAGGGAGAGGGUCAUCAGGGCCAUCUCAGUCUUAUGCUCAAUCCUCAGCCAGUGCACCACAAUCUGUGCACCGUUUCCAGCAGAGUAACCCUUCGGGGUCAAGUUCAUACAAAAAGAGGUCCUGCCAGUUCAGUCAUUCAGGGAUGAGACCUCGACAACAGGGAGGUAUAUGUACCAAGUGUGGGAGAUUUCAUAUAGAGGCCUGUUACUUGGAUGCUCCAGUGUGUUACAAUUUUGGGGUGAGAGGUCACAUACAGCAGGACUGCCAUGCGCCCAGACAGGGCACAUGUAGGGGACUUGCUCAGCCAUCCAGUUCAUUAUUUGCUACGUCAACAGUGCACCCUCCAGCCCCAGCAGGGCAUGGUGCAGCCAGAGGUGGAGCUCGUGGUAGGGGCGGACCUAAUAGGUUUUAUGCAAUUAGUGACCGUCAGAGUGCUGAGGCUUCCCCAGAUGUUUUCAUAGGUAUCCUAUCUGUUCAGACCAUUGAUUAUUAUGCUCUUAUUUAUCCAGGGUCUUCUUUGUCCUAUGUCACUCCAUUUGUUGCUUCGAGUUUUGGGAUUGAACCCAAGCAGCUUCUUGAGCCAUUCUCUGUAUCGACUCCGGUUGGUAAUUCUAACGUCGUGCGGGUCUAUUGGAAUUGUGUUGUUAUGGUAGGUGGUCGUGUUACCACUAUUGAGCUUAUCUAGCUUGGGAUGGUGGAUUUUGAUGUAAUCAUGGGGAUGGAUUGGCUCUACUCGUGCUUUGAUAAACUUGAUUGUCGGAUGAGAGUCAUGAGACUCGAGUUCCCUAGUGAGCCGGUUGUUGAGUGGAAAGGAAAUGGUGUUGUGCCGAAGGGUAGCUAUAUUUCCUACUUCAAGGCUUCAAAGAUCAUCAGAAAGGGGUGUAUCUAUCAUUUAGUCUGGGUGGUGGACACUAAUCCAAAGGUUCCUGCCCCUGAGUUCAUGAUAGUUGUGAACGAGUUCUUUGAGUAUUUCCAGAUGAGCUUCCAAGAAUUCCGCCAGAUAGAGAGAUUGAUUUUGGGAUUGAUGGAUUGCCAAAUACUCAGCCAAUAUCUAUUCCACCGUACAGAAUGGCGCCAACAAAGUUGUGAUAGUUAAAAGAGCAGUUGAAGGAUCUAUUGAAGAAGAGGUUUAUUUGGCCAAGUGUGUCGCCAUGGGGUGCUCCGGUUCUUUUCGUCAGAAAGAAGGUGUCGCUUCAGAUGUGUAUCGAUUAUCGGCAGCUUAAUAAAGUCACCAUCAAAAAUACGUACCCUUUUCCUCGGAUAGAUGAUUUGUUGGAUCAAUUGCAAGGUGCAAGGUUCUUCUCCAAUAAUGAUUUGUGGUCUGGAUACAACCAAUUGAAGAUCAGGGAGCAGGAUUUUCCUAAGACCGCUUUCAGAACGCGUUAUGGCAACUUUGAAUUCUUGGUAAUGUCUUUUUGGCUAACCAAUGCCCCCACAGCUUUUAUGGAUCUUAUGAAUCGGGUCUUCAAGUCAUUUUUAGACUCCUUCGUGAUUUUUUUCAUUGACGACAUCCUCGUAUAUUCGCAGAGCAGGGAGGAUCAUGCCAGCCACCUCAGAGCGGUUUUGCAGACUCUACAUCAGCACCAAUUGUAUGCCAAGUUUUCCAAAUGUGAAUUUUGGUUGGAGNNNNNNNNNNNNNNNNNNNNNNNNNNNNNNNNNNNNNNNNNNNNNNNNNNNNNNNNNNNNNNNNNNNNNNNNNNNNNNNNNNNNNNNNNNNNNNNNNNNNNNNNNNNNNNNNNNNNNNNNNNNNNNNNNNNNNNNNNNNNNNNNNNNNNNNNNNNNNNNNNNNNNNNNNNNNNNNNNNNNNNNNNNNNNNNNNUGAGGGGAUUCAGGUGGACCCCCAAAAGAUUGCAGCGGUGAAGGAUUGGCCUAGGCCCACGACCCCGACGGAGAUUCGUAGCUUCUUGGGGUUAGUAGAGUAUUAUCAGAGGUUUGUAGAGGGAUUAUCCACCCUCGCCUCUCCUUUGACUAAAUUGACGCAGAAAUCCGCCAAGUUCCAGCGGUCAGAUGCUUGUGAGAAAAGUUUUCAAGAAUUUAAGACAAGGUUGACUUCGGCACCAGUGUUGGCAUUGCCAGAAGGCAUAGAGGGGUUUGUAGUUUAUUGUGAUGCCUCCACGGUUGGAUUAGGGUGUGUUCUGAUGCACCACGGGAAGGUCAUAGCAUAUGCUUCCAAGCAACUCAAGAAUCAUGAGAAGAAUUAUCUUACACAUGAUUUGGAGCUUGCAGCAGUUGUGUUCGCCUUGAAAACAUGGCGGCAUUAUCUAAAUGGGGUUCAUGUAGAUGUGUUUUCAAAUCCCAAGAGUCUUCAAUAUUUGUUCAAGUAGAAAGAGCUGAAUUUUAGGCAGCGGCGGUGGUUAGAAUUGCUUAAAGAUUACAAUAUGGACAUCUUGUACCACCCAGGGAAUGAGAACGUGGUGGCCGACGCCCUCAGUCGGAAAUCCAUGGGUAGCUUCCUCGGUUAAAAACCACCGACAUGUCAAGUUCCAAAUUCUAAUUAGUUCCUGGUCCUGGUCAGAGACCACUGUGUUCGCGCCUUUUCUCAAUCUAGUAAGAGGGGUUGGUUAAAAGAGAUGGAUUCCUUUCUUCAAUGCAUUCCACCGGGGCGACUAGGGUACCUUUUUUCUAAGAUACGUUCAUUCAAGCUCAAGCCAACUUCUAUUAGUUCAGUCGGAAGGCAAGGGUCCAGUCUAUCAAUCCAUUCAAGUUAUUGGGGCAUUUCUGCAUUGGUUGAUACCUUUUUUCUAAGAUACUUUCAUCAAGCUCAAGCCAACUUCUAUUAGUUCAGUCACUUGAGAACCGAUCAGAGGUUCCUAGCUCGGGAGGUACAUCAGUUGGCUAGCCUUGGAGUUUGUAUCUCGGCCCCGAAUAAGGAGGAACUUAUGGUGCAUAAUAUAGAAGAAUCGUCGCUCAUGGCAUAGGUUAAAGAAAAGAAUUUUGUUGAUCUAGCAUUGGCACAAUUGAAGGAGGCAUCUCUAAGUAACAAAAUUUCAGAAUUUUCACUUGGCAGCAGUGAUGGUGUACUACGGUGCCAUGACAGGUUAUAUGUAUCGGAUGUGGAUAAUCUUCGGGAGAGGGUAAUGGCGUAGGCUCAUCAUUCCAGGUAUUCCGUGCACCCAGGCUCUACACAGAUGUAUCACGAUCGCAAGGAUAUCUAUUGGUAGAGUGGUAUGAAGAAGAGUGUAGCGGACUUUGUCUCUAAGUGCCCGAAUUGCCAACAAGUGAAGGCCGAGCAUCAACGGAUGGGAGGGUUGGCUCAGCUUAUUGGAAAUACCGAUGUGGAAGUGGUAAAUGAUCAAUAUGGACUUCGUGACAGGACUACCUCGUACUCAGCACAAGUUCGACUCAAUUUGGGUAAUUGUGGAUAGGCUCACCAAAUCAGCUCACGUUUUGCUAGUCAAGUCCACCGAUACUGCGGAAAAAUAUGCUCGGUUGUAUAUCAAGGAGAUAGUGAGGCUUCAUGGUAUGCCACUUUCUAUCAUUUCGGAUCAAGGAGCUGAUGUUGGAUCAUGUGCUACUGCGGAAAAAUAUGCUCGGUUGUAUAUCAAGGAGAUAGUGAGGCUUCAUGGUAUGCCACUUUCUAUCAUUUCGGAUCAAGGAGCUCAGUUUACAGCUAACUUCUGGAGGAAAAUUCAGCAAGGUUUGGGUACUCAAGUAAAUCUCAGCACAACUUUUCAUUCGCAGACCGAUGGCCAAGCAAAGAGGACCAUUCAGACGCUCGAGGAUAUGUUGCAGGCAUGUGUCUUGGAUUUCAAAGGUAAUUGGGAUGACCACGUGCCCCUUAUAGAGUAUGCUUCUAACAACAGCUUCCAUGCUAGCAUCCAGAUGGCCUUAUUCGAAGCAUUGUAAGGAAGAAGGUGUUGGUCCCCGAUCGGGUGGUUCGAGAUUGGUGAAGCAUAAUUAAUAGGGCCAGAUCUCGUGCAUCAGGCCAUGGAGAAGGUAAGAUUCAUUCAGGAUAGGAUGAAGACUGCUCAAAGUCUCCAUAAAUCCUAUGCAGACGUGCGUCAAGAAAAAGAUUGGGUAUUCUUUAGGGUGCCCCCUAUGAAGGGAGUCAUGCGCUUCGGGAAGAAGGGAAAACUAAGUCCUAGGUACGUCGGGCCUUAUCAAGUCCCUCAAAGGAUCAGUCAAGUUGUGCAUAGGUUGGCAUUUCCCUCUGAAAUGUCUUUGGUGCACCUGGUGUUUCAUGUAUCCAUGUUGAGGAAAGUUGUGGGUGAUCCGUCUAAAAUCGUGCCAGUUGAAGACAUCAAGGUUACAGAAGAGUUAUCAUUUGAGGAGAUUCCGAUUGCUAUUCUAGAUAGACAAGUCCGAAAGUUGCGGAUGGAAGAUAUCAAAGUUACCGAAGAGUUAUCAUAUGAGGAGAUUCCGGUUGCUAUUCUGGAUAGGCAAGUCCGAAGGUUGCGGAACAAGUAGAUUGCUUCAGCUAAAGUGUUGUGGCGAAACCAACAAGUCGAGGAAGCCACAUGGGAAGCGAAAUAUGAGAUGAAGAUAAAAUACCCUCAUCUAUUUGGGCAAGUCUUGGAAUGGUCGUGCGAAUCUUGUCCCUAGGAGAGCUAGUGUUGUAUUCCAUUAGGUGUAAGAAUCAUCCCUUCUCUUUCCAAGUGCCUUAUUGUUGUAGUUUCUCCAAGAAGAUGAGAUGAAGAUAAAAUACCCCCAUCUAUUUGAGCAAGUCUAGGAAUGGUCGUGCGAAUAUUUUCCCUAGGAAAGCUAGUGUUGUGUUCUAUUAGGUGUAAAAUCAUCCCUUCUCUUUCCAAGUUCCUUAUUGUUGUACUUUCUCCAAGUUGUGCCAACCAAGUUUAUGUGUUGUGAUUCCCUUUUUGGUAAUAAAUGUUUUGUGCUCCCAUGGUAAUUAAUGUAUGGAAGUAAUAAUUAAUUUUGCAUGGAGACUAUGUAUCAAAGUGUUCUAAUUGUGUAAUGAUUAGUUUUGCAUGGAGGAAUUGUAUUGAAACAAAUAACUGUGUCAUACCCUUGUGAUAGGUAAAUGGCUUUAAUAGUACUGGUGAUUAAUGCUUAAUUUGAUUAUAUGUUGUGUGCCAAAAGGUUAAAAGUGUAUCAAGAGUUUUAAUAUGUGCAAGUAUGAGGAUUAUGCAUGGUACACCUAUUGUAAAUGUAGCAAGUUUGUGUAGCAAUGCUUGGACAUGUGUUUUGGGGAUUCUUUGACAGGUGGUUAUGUCUAUAUUACAAAGGAGACUGUGGCAAAUUUUUUCUAAAACAAACUUGAAAGUUAAUAAAAGUGUAGAAACUUGAAUAUCAUGUUUUCAAACACAUUUGGUUCCCAAGUCCUCAUUCGAGGACGAAUGAUCUUAAGCGGGGGAGAAUGUAAGGCCUCAUGAAAUAAGUGCUCAGAUGUUAGCAGCUCAUACAGUCAGUCUACCUACAUGGAUGAGAUCCUUUUUACUGUUUUGAUCUUAAAAAUGUGAAAUCGAAAUUUUUCCAGAAAAUGGUCAAAAUACGGUCCAGAAUGCGGUCGCAGAUUAGAUUUGCGGGCCACAUUCCAGUAGCAGAGUGAAUCAGAGAGCAACCAAUUUUUUAUGUUGAAAAAGCGGUCAAAUCUACGAUCGCAUAAUCAAUAUGCGGACCGCAGAUUGAUCGCAUAUUGCACCUAAGGAAAUUCAAAGGUCAGUUUGGCAGUGCAUUCUGCAACCGCAGAACUCAAAUACAGACCGCAUAUUCACCUCAUUUCCAACCCGAGAGGUUUGAAACUUGAGCCACUUCUGCGGUCCAUUCUGCGGACUGCAUGUCUGUUCUAUGAUCGCAAAUUGUGUUGCAGAUCGAGCUCGCCUGGUAUUUUUUUUAAAAUUUUAGACCCGACCUACCUUUUAUUAUAACACCUUCGCCCUCAUUUCUAACACAUUUUUGAUCAAACCAAGAGAGAGGGAUAGAGGGUUCUUGAGAGAGAAAGCAAUCCUUCAUCAUCUAGUCUUUCAAAUCAUUGGAGCUUGGAAAAUGCAUGGUGCAUUGUCUUCUCUAUUGAUUUCUCAGGUAAAAUUCCUAACCUAUUUCCCCCAAAUUUUGAAAUUAAGCUUGGGCAGGGAACCCCAUACACUUGCUUUGAAAUUUCUUCAUAAAAUCUUCAUGCAUGUCUUCAAAACUNNNNNNNNNNNNNNNNNNNNNNNNNNNNNNNNNNNNNNNNNNNNNNNNNNNNNNNNNNNNNNNNNNNNNNNNNNNNNNNNNNNNNNNNNNNNNNNNNNNNNNNNNNNNNNNNNNNNNNNAAUGAGUUUAAAUUUCUAAAACCUAAGUGUUGCUCAUGAACUAGAUUGACUUCUUGAUUUCUUGCCGAAUUGGACUAGAGGUUCAAAGGGAAUAAUCAACUCCACGUAUGUAUGGCUAACUGUGAUCCUUGUGAAAUCGCUAUGUGAUAGUUGUGAUUGAUAGUUGAUAUUCAUGUGGGAAUCAUUGUGAAACUUUUGUGUUGUAUAAUUGUGUGGUAACACUUUGUGGUGAAAGUUGUGGAACUUGUAAUUGGAAGAGUUUGGAAAUGGAAAUAAUGUGGAACAAUGGAAAUGGAAAUAAUGUUGAACAAUGGAAAUGGAAAAAAUGUGGAACAACGUUUGUGAUUAGUUGUGAACAAUUGUGGUGAUAAUCCAAAUUGUGUACCAAUUUGAUGAAUAUGAGGAAAUUGUUGUUGCUAGUUGUGGGAUUUCAUUAUCCUUGUUGUGGAUAUAUUUUAACAAUGUAUCAUAGUUGAUUUCUUGUAUUUGUUGUUGUGCUGUUUGUUGUUGUGAAUUGAAAACUGUCAGGCAAGGUCGGGUUGCGCACCGCAACACGGUGAAAUAAGGUGUAGGUUGGGUUAAUUUAACAAUGUGCCAUAGUUGAUUUAUGGUAUUUGUUGUUGUGCUGUUUAUUGUUGUGAAUUGAAACUGUCAGGCGGGGUCGGGUUGCGUGCCACAAAACAAUGAAAUAAGGUGUGGGUUGGGGUGAUAAGGGUGAACAAGGUAAUAAGGGUGGACGAGGAAAUAAGGGUGGAAAAGGUGAUCCAAUAUCACUAUUGAUAUGAAUAUGAAUCAUGAAAUGAUCAAUGUGGAAUUGUAAAAAAAAAAAGUAGGAGAGUUUGUAACCUGUGGGGCACUGACCCCUUUGUUUGACUACUUGAAUCAUUUGUUGUGAAAUGUUUCGUUGUUGCUCCAUGGUUGUACUUGUACUAUUGUUGUUCAGUUUUACACUUGUAUAUGCAAUUUGGCUUGAGUUUACUUGGGACAGAGUUUGUUCAUGCAUACCAGUACAAUUCAUAUGUACUGACGUCCCUUUUUGCGGGGACGCUACGUUCGUGUAUGAUUGUAGGUGGACCCAUGACAGGCACUCCAGUCCACAGUUCGUAGCUCCUCCUCCUCUUUAUCGGCGAUAUUCGUGUUUGGUGAGCCCCUUUCCUUCCGGGGCAUUGUGUGGCUCAUGCCACCCAUGAUGUUGUAUUUUGGAGUUUGUGUUCUUUUUUAAAGGUAUAGUUGGGCCUUGUCACCGGCAAGUGUUGUAUUAUCUUUCUCUUAGAGGCUCUGUAGACAGUGGUAUGUGGGUUAGAACUUAUGUAUAGAGGUGUAUGUUUUAAGCGUUGUCAACUUGUAAACCACGUUCCCUGUU